rnacentral:rRNA from 1 species
UACGGGGGGGGCAAGCGUUGUUCGGAAUUACUGGGCGUAAAGGGCUCGUAGGUGGCCAACUAAGUCAGACGUGAAAUCCCUCAGCUUAACUGGGGAACUGCGUCUGAUACUGGAUGGCUUGAGUCCGGGAGAGGUGAGUGGAAUUCCCAGUGUAGCGGUGAAAUGCGUAGAUAUUGGGAGGAACACCAGUGGCGAAGGCGGCUCACUGGACCGGAACUGACGCUGAGGCGCGAAAGCGUGGGGAGCAAACGGG